rnacentral:rRNA from 1 species
GUAGGUGGCAAGCGUUGUCCGGAAUUAUUGGGCGUAAAGCGCGCGCAGGCGGUCCUUUAAGUCUGAUGUGAAAGCCCACGGCUCAACCGUGGAGGGUCAUUGGAAACUGGAGGACUUGAGUACAGAAGAGGAAAGCGGAAUUCCAAGUGUAGCGGUGAAAUGCGUAGAGAUUUGGAGGAACACCAGUGGCGAAGGCGGCUUUCUGGUCUGUAACUGACGCUGAGGCGCGAAAGCGUGGGGAGCAAACAGGGAUUAGAUACCCUGGUAGUCCACGCCGUAAACGAUGAGUGCUAAGUGUUAGGGGGUUUCCCGCCCCUUAGUGCUGCAGCUAACGCAUUAAGCACUCCGCCUGGGGAGUACGGCCGCAAGGCUG